UCCCUGGUGGCUCAGAUGGUAAAGCGUCUGCCUAUAAUGCAGGAGACCCAGGUUUGAUCCCUGGGUUGGGAA
rnacentral:tRNA from 1 species